rfam:Cavia porcellus supercont2_16 genomic scaffold, whole genome shotgun sequence.
GCUUUCUUCAACAUCAAAUAUACUCUAAAAUUAGAAUAAUACAGAUUAGCAUGGUCAUUGCACAAGGAUGACAUAAAUUUAUGAAGUAUUCCCACAUUUUU